AGGCAGUUAGUCUAAAUAAAACACUUGAUUUCGGCUCAAGCCUUUUGUGGCCUAGCACCACAAUUGCCUA
rnacentral:tRNA from 1 species